GCAUGUGAGGGUGAUAUGGUUGUAACAUUUGUCUCCCUGGCAUUGAUACCAGGGUUGAUUCAGUUGAUCUGGCUGCCUAGGCGGGUACCCCCUUCCUCCCUUACUGACCCAUGUGUGGUAGGAGAGGACAAACUUCCCUGAGGACUGGUCCUUGGUCAAGGAUAUAAGAGUAGCUAUGCUCUCCUGCUAGAACCUCCAAACAAGCUCAAGGGCUUUGAAGUUUUAAAAACCCAUGCCAAGGAUAUUCCCCAUUUCUACUUGUAGAUCAUG
rnacentral:snRNA from 1 species